CGCUCACAUCUCCUUAUCACUUUUCCAGCCCAGCUAUAGGUUUUGAAUCCGUUGGACGGAGAACUGAUAAGGG
ensembl:miRNA mir184 microRNA mir-184